UGCACUCCUAGAUUUGGGCAUGAUACCAGAACUGCACAGUGGCCUGUUUGUUUUCUCAGUCUCCUGCUCGAGAUCCCAACCAAGCUUAAGAUAUGCAGUCUGGCAGCAUCUUCAUUGCUAUAUUUUUAUUAAUGCUCUUGGCUUCCCCAGGCGAUGCCUACACAGCAGGGAAGCUGAUAAAGACUGAAGAGGACUGCAGUCUUGCUAAGGGCUUUUGUACAUCUGAACCGGAGUGCAAUACACCUUACCCCUCCCUGGGAUCCUGUGGGGGAAAUAACUUAUGUUGCUUGGCAUUUGGUGGGAAAUGAUGGAGAGAGACAUACCACAUCCAGCAACAACAAUGGCUUCCACUUAAGGAACGUGGAUUUACUGUCGCUUGGCCCUUAGAAAGUGCAAAAAUGAGACAGAGCUCCUAUUGCACAGAUAUUUUAUUUAAAACAAUGAAAACUGGA